rnacentral:rRNA from 1 species
AUUGAACGCUGGCGGCAUGCCUUACACAUGCAAGUCGAACGGCAGCACGGGUGCUUGCACCUGGUGGCGAGUGGCGAACGGGUGAGUAAUACAUCGGAACAUGUCCUGUAGUGGGGGAUAGCCCGGCGAAAGCCGGAUUAAUACCGCAUACGAUCUACGGAUGAAAGCGGGGGACCUUCGGGCCUCGCGCUAUAGGGUUGGCCGAUAGCUGAUUAGCUAGUUGGUGGGGUAAAGGCCUACCAAGGCGACGAUCAGUAGCUGGUCUGAGAGGACGACCAGCCACACUGGGACUGAGACACGGCCCAGACUCCUACGGGAGGCAGCAGUGGGGUAUUUUGGACAAUGGGCGAAAGCCUGAUCCAGCAAUGCCGCGUGUGUGAAGAAGGCCUUCGGGUUGUAAAGCACUUUUGCCCGGAAAGAAAUCCUUGGCUCUAAUACAGUCGGGGGAUGACGGUACCGGAAGAAUAAGCACCGGCUAACUACGUG